ACCUUCCAAUUUCUUCUCACAGCGGUUAGUGAUGUUAUUUUGCAGGAUGCUUUUUCUUUUACGCUCCGGAACUAUCAAAGCAUUUUGGGUCAGCGUACAUACCUUUGGAUACUUUCUUGAAGGGGUCGGAGUGCUCAGGGAUCCUGUCUCUCCUUUUAGGAACAGAUUCAGACACCAUGGAUUCAAGUAGGUUUUCCACAGGUCUGUUUCAGGUCACAUCUUGGAGCUCUGACAACCGUGACGGUACUUGUUACUGGUAUAAACAAAUCUGUGGUCUAGUAUGGAUGGUUUGCAAGGUCUGUGAUUGAAGUGCGUUUUGGAGUAUGUGAGUAGUGUUCAGAAGAAUGAACUAUCCCUACAUCCUCUUCGUCCUCUCUCACCUUUCCUUUCUCAUCCUACUAUUCUCGCCCUCAAACACAUGCUAUAUGAAUUCCUUCUUAUACUCUUUCUGUCUUUCUGAUCUCUUGGUUCUCCUCCUCUUCAUCUCUUCCUUCUCACUGUCGUAAUCCUUCCCUUCUUUGUUCCUGACCUACUAAUCCUACCCAUAAAUUCUCCCUUUAUCUGUAAAUCAAUCUUUUUUCCCUUUACACCACUUGCCUUUCACCUCAUUUUCUCUCCUAGGUUCACCCUUAAUUUUCUUGUUAACCUGUGUCUGCGUGUAUGAUUGGCAUGGGAACUCUGCUAUAAAGACCUUCACUGCACAUGAGAUUAUCUCCCCUUUAGGCAUUAAAUUAUCCACAGCAAAACACACAUACGCAAACACACCCGCAAAUGUAAAACUAUCCCUAUAAAGUCUAUAAAGGUGACUGUUUCCACAGUGACACUGUUUCUUUAUUUGUUCUUUCAACACAUGCACACUCAGAAACACACACAGAGGGAGCAAAUAAGAACUACUGUAUGUCAGAUGUUUACACUUUCGUGUGUGUGUGUGUGUGUGUGUGCAUGCAUGCGUGCGUGAGGAAGACUAACCACCUGUUCAACAACAGAGCUGAGGACACACUGGGGGGGUGUCCGUUUGUGUGUGUCCCUUCACCUGUCAAUAUGAAGAUAAUUGAUGAGACAGCCCAGCAAUAGACCUGAGGGACGGGUCCUUUCACACACACACACAUUUUACGCCCCACAACUUACACUGCUGGAGCAUUUGAAAGGUGGAACUUCAGUCAAAUUUUCUAGUUUCUGAAACCACUUCAGACCGAAAACAUGUAGCGGCCAAUUUUGGGCUAUUUGUUUCAUUAAAAUGUUUUUUUAGGCUGGUAAUAAUUACUUUAAAGCCAUUUCUGUUGACAGAAUCCAUUUUGACUUUUGGCAUUUUCAAUUAUUAAAAAAAUUGUCGGUUUUUCCCACUCCUUGGCUUUGGCAGGUCCCUUAAUUCCGCUGCUAACGCUGUUGAAUAUGAUCAACUUUCUUUUAUGGUUCUCAAAAUGUAUGACUUUAAUGAAGGACAUAUGAUGCAAUACUUGUAGCCUUAUUCGGUGUUACCUUAUUAGGUAACACCAAAUAAGGCUACAAGUUAGUUAAGUGGAGGUAACAGAACCACUCAGGGUUAGGAAAAGAGCCACAUUGAAAUAGUGGAAAGGAUGACCAGUCAUUAGUAGACUUGCUUCUGACAUGCGCAUUAACCACAAGCUCGUUGCGUAAUGUUUCAACAGUCAGCCCUCGCGCCAUGCGCUCAGGGGAGAUCCUACUUCAUCCUUAAAAUAUUCGGCCCUGAAUGUGGAGGUGCAAACAGUGCUCUGAGACCGUUUCGACGAGAAUCCCAAGCAUUGAAGUAAGGGGGGAAUGCAGGGUAUGCGGGUAUGCUUCUACUUAAAUGAAGAUCCUGACAAACUUGUUAAAAAGUACAUGUUUGAGGAUGUUGCUGGAGUGGACGAAAUGGAGGAAGUGGUUUUGGCCAUCUACGUUGUGGAACAUGAGGGAGCAGAGGCAACCGAUGAACCUGAGGAUAUUGGCAUCAUCGUUGAAGAGUGUACAGUGCUGGAAUACCUCAGAAAAGUGGCAAAUGGCUGCGCAUCCCUGUUUGGUGUGAUCUACAGUUUAAACUUGAGCUAUCCCAAGGACCUUUGAUACACUUUCAAGUUUAUUCAGAAAGUUUGGAUGGGAUUGGAUGGGAACAAGCUCUCCACUAAGGUCCUCAAAAAAAAACUGCAUGAGGAAAAUGCCAUCAAGGCUGGAUAAGAAUUUCUGUUCAUCCUCACACAGGAAAGUGCUUUUGCACUGUGGACUGAUGCUGAACACAUUGUUUGUUGGUUUGCUGUUGUGUUAUUAGACGCUGUCACUAUGUUUUUUCACUGUAUGUUUUUUUAAAAGUUGGACAUUUUAUGUUGACAUUUUAAAUAGCAUAAACUCCAUGUUGACUAGUUCAUAAAUUCCAAAUUUGAUGAUUCUGGUAAUGUUUAAGUUCUCAACCUAAACUUGUUAUUUCAGAAGAUACGUAUUUAAUAGAGAACAGAAUCACUGUUUUACUGUUUCAGCUUCACAGUGUGAGGUUAAAACCAUAAGAUUAUUAUCUAUAUAGAUAUUCAUAGAUUUGUUUUCAUUAUUUCUUAUUGGUACAUUUUCAGUUUUUAUAAAUUUGUGUGUUGUACACAUGCAUAUUAUACACAGGUGAAUAGUCCCACCUGCUUCAAACCUGAUAAUAAAGGUUUAAGUGAAUUUCAGCAAAAACUUAAUUUGUAUUUAUUUGACUCAUUUAUUUAAACUGAACAACUAAG
ensembl:lncRNA